GACGAACGCUGGCGGCGUGCCUAAUACAUGCAAGUAGAACGCACAGUUUAUACCUUAGCUUGCUACACCAUAGACUGUGAGUUGCGAACGGGUGAGUAACGCGUAGGUAACCUGCCUGGUAUCGGGGGAUAACUAUUGGUAACGAUAGCUAAUACCGCAUAAUAUUGAUUAUUGCAUGGUAAUUGAUUGAAAGAUGCAAUUGAAUCACUACCAGAUGGACCUGCGUUGUAUUAGCUAGUAGGGGAGGUAACGGCUCAUCUAGGCGACGAUACAUAGACGACUUGGGAGGGUGAUAGGCCAAACUGGGACGGGGACAAGGCCCAGAACCCUAAGGGAGGGAGCCGGAGGGGAUCUUUGGACAUGGACGAAAGUCUGACCGAGGAACGCCGGGUGAGUGAAGGAGGUUGUCGGGUCGGAAAGGUCUGUUGUGAGAGAAGAACGGGUGUGAGAGUGGAAAGUUCACACUGUGACGGUAUCUUAACAAAUAGCGACGGCUAACUACGUG
rnacentral:rRNA from 1 species